rnacentral:rRNA from 1 species
UACGUAGGGUGCAAGCGUUGUCCGGAAUUAUUGGGCGUAAAGAGCUCGUAGGCGGUCUGUCGCGUCGGCUGUGAAAACCCGGGGCUCAACCCCGGGCCUGCAGUCGAUACGGGCAGACUAGAGUGCGGUAGGGGAGACUGGAAUUCCUGGUGUAGCGGUGAAAUGCGCAGAUAUCAGGAGGAACACCGGUGGCGAAGGCGGCUAUCUGGACCGACAUUGACGCUGAGGCGCGAAAGCGUGGGGAGCAAACAGG